CCCUUAGAUGUUCUGGGCCGCACGCGCGCUACACUGACGAAUGCAACGAGCUUAUAACCUUGGCCGAAAGGUCUGGGUAAUCUCCAAAUUUCGUCGUGAUGGGGAUAGAUUAUUGCAAUUAUUAAUCUUCAACGAGGAAUGCCUAGUAAGCGCAAGUCAUCAGCUUGCGUUGAUUACGUCCCUGCCCUUUGUACACACCGCCCGUCGCUCCUACCGAUUGAAUGGUCCGGUGAAGCGCUCGGACCGCGGCCUCUUGACGGUUCGCUGUCGAUUGGCUGUGGGAAGUUCGUUAAACCUUAUCGUUUAGAGGAAGGAGAAGUCGUAACA
rnacentral:rRNA from 1 species